GAUGAACGCUGGCGGCGUGCCUAAUACAUGCAAGUCGAGCGAACAGACGAGGAGCUUGCUCCUCUGACGUUAGCGGCGGACGGGUGAGUAACACGUGGAUAACCUACCUAUAAGACUGGGAUAACUUCGGGAAACCGGAGCUAAUACCGGAUAAUAUAUUGAACCGCAUGGUUCAAUAGUGAAAGACGGUUUUGCUGUUACUUAUAGAUGGAUCCGCGCCGCAUUAGCUAGUUGGUAAGGUAACGGCUUAGCAAGGCAACGAUGCGUAGCCGACUCGAGAGGCUGAUCGCCCACACUGGCGGUGCGCCUCGGUCCAGACUCCUACGCAGGUCAGCAGUACCGAAUCUUCCGCCAUGGGGGAAAGCCUGACCGAGCGACACCGCGCGUGUGAUGAAGGUCUUCGGAUCGUUAAACUCUGUUAUUCGCAAAGAACAAAUGUGUAAGUGACUAUGCACGUCUUGACGGUACCUGAUCAGAAAGCCCCGGCUAACUACCUG
rnacentral:rRNA from 1 species